rnacentral:tRNA from 2 species
GCGUCUGUAGCUCAGUUGGAUAGAGCAACGGACUUCUAAUCCGUAGGUCGCAGGUUCGAAUCCUGCCAGGCGUACCA